UACGUAGGGUGCAAGCGUUGUCCGGAAUUAUUGGGCGUAAAGAGCUUGUAGGCGGUUUGUCGCGUCUGCUGUGAAAACUCGGGGCUUAACUCCGGGCCUGCAGUGGGUACGGGCAGACUAGAGUGCGGUAGGGGGAGACUGGAAUUCCUGGUGUAGCGGUGAAAUGCGCAGAUAUCAGGAGGAACACCGAUGGCGAAGGCAGUUCUCUGGGCCGUAACUGACGCUGAGGAGCGAAAGCGUGGGGGAGCGAACAGG
rnacentral:rRNA from 1 species